GGAGUGUUAAGUUAUAGAGACUGUAGUAUUUCAAGUACUGAAGAGGGUAGAUCUCACACUUUA
rnacentral:tRNA from 1 species